CCCUAUGGGGUGCAGCAGGCGCGAAACCUCCACAAUGCACGCAAGUGCGAUGGGGCUACCUCGAGUGCCGCCUGAAGAAGGCGGCUUUUCCACUGUCUAACCAGCUGUGGGAAUAAGAGGGGGGCAAGACUGGUGUCAGCCGCCGCGGUAACACCAGCUCCUCGAGUGGUGGGGAUGAUUAUUUGGCCUAAAGCGUUCGUAGCCGGCUCAGUAAAUCCCUCGUUAAAUCCAACGUCCCAAGCGUUGGGCUGCGAGAGACACUGCUGAGCUAGAGGGUGGGCGAGGUCAGCGGUAUUUCUGGGGUAGGGGCGAAAUCCUUUGAUCCCAGGAGGACCACCAGUGGCGAAGGCUGUUGACCAGAACACGCCUGACGGUGAGGGACGAAAGCUGGGGUAGCGAAUCGGAUUAGAUACCCGAGUAGUCCCAGCCGUAAACGAUGCAUGCUAGGUGUUGGAGCGGCUACGUGCCGCUUCAGUGCCACAGGGAAGCCAUUAAGCAUGCCGCCUGGGGAGUACGGCCGCAAGGCUGAAACUUAAAGGAAUUGGCGGGGGAGCACCACCAGGCGUGAAGCCUGCGGUUUAAUUGGAGUCAACGCCGGGAACCUUACCGGGAGCGACAGAAGAGUGAAGGCCAGGCUAAAGGUCUUGCCGGACGAUCUGAGAGGAGGUGCAUGGCC
rnacentral:rRNA from 1 species